GUGGACAUCUUACUAGACAGUGCUGGAUUUUGUCAGUGUACUCUAACACUGUCUGGUAACGAUGUUUAA
rfam:Ophiophagus hannah scaffold256.1, whole genome shotgun sequence.